ACGUUGUUCUUGUCUUCCUUCCAAUGGACUUUCGAAGCAUAUAAUAUAUUCGCACUAUAAUAACGAAUUAACAACACUUGCUGAUGAAAUGGGCAUUGAAAUUUCCACGAGAGACAGGCUUGGAAUUCAGGUCCAAUCGGCAUCAGAUCGACACAAACAGAAGACAAAGCUGGUCGCUUUCCGAGGUGGUCAAGCUGGACAUCUUCACAUGCUCCGAAGGACACCACGAAUGGCACGACGACCGAGAUGUUCUUGGAGCCCACGUUCGUCUUCCUCCUCGAGAACUUCGUCCACCCAGGAUUAAGAUCUUGCUGUCGAGUGUUGACAUGGUCGACACGUAUCGGGUCGGGUCAAGUAGGAAAUGGUUCGGACGCAAAUCGUUUUGUUCGUCGGGUUUUGCAGCAACCCCAACACAUCGACACUCCUAAGAACGAACGACUCGCUUUUGAGAUUUUCAACUCCGCUUUACUAGCCGAAAGAUGUUU
rnacentral:lncRNA from 1 species